GAUAAAAAGUGUGAUAAGAUCGACUCAGUAUUUACCGCCUGCAGACUAUACAAGGCCUGUGCAUGGUGGUAAUCCUCCUGAGGCCAUGUACUAGGCUGCACGCAACGGAGACACAGAGAAGAUUAAAUCAUGGCUCGAAGAAGGUGAUGUUAACGCUGCAGACCACGAAGGAGACACGUUGCUGCGAGGAGUGUACCGUGACGGAACACUUUUCAAAUUAAUAUUUAACAGGUCCUUAGUUCAUCCAUGGGUUUAAUAUACCAUAACAUUGUCACGCUAGAUCUCGUCUUAUUCCUAUUGUCAGCACUUACUAUAGAAUUUACACUUAUUUUAUGAAUUAUUAUGCACUGCUA